AGAGAAUAGAUACCCAGGUAGUCCCAGCUGUAAACGAUGCAGGCUAGGUGUUUGGACGGCCACGUGCCGUUCUAGUGCCGCAGGGAAGCUGUUAAGCCUGCCGCCUGGGGAGUACGAUCGCAAGAUUGAAACUUAAAGGAAUUGGCGGGGAGCACCACAAGGGGUGAAAGCUUGCGGUUUAAUUGGAGUCAACGCCGGAAAUCUCACCGGGAGCGACAGCAGUGUGAAGGCCAGAUUAAAGGUCUUGCCAGACGAGCUGAGAGGAGGUGCAUGGCCGUCGCCAGUUCGUGCCGUGAGGUGUCCUGUUAAGUCAGGCAACGAUCGAGACCCGCAUCCUCUGUUGCAACCAGCUUUGGGCUGGGCACACUGAGGAGACCGCCACUGAUAAAGUGGAGGAAGGAGCGGGCCACGGCAGGUCAGUAUGCCCCGAAUCUCCCGGGCCACACGCGAGCUGCAAUGGCAGGUACAAUGGGUUCCGACCUCGAAAGGGGAAGGCAAUCUCGAAAGCCUGCCGUAGUUGGGAUC
rnacentral:rRNA from 1 species